rnacentral:misc_RNA from 1 species
CCUGAGAAUAGCCAUUUCUCUAUGCUCUCGCGAUCAUAAGUUAUCCCAGUUGGCACAGUAACUGGGUCUCUCAUGAUUUGGAGAGAAAUAGGGCAGAGAAAAAACGGAGGGACAUCAAUCUCUUCCAUUAGAAUAAACAACGGCUGCUUCUGCUGCUGAUGAAAAGCUGAAGAACUUGAGAAACCCCAGAAAGAGGAGGUGUGAAAUAAGAAGAAAAAUAGAGAUGAAGUUAGGAGAAUUUCUGAUGCGUAGUAGCUGUG